GGGGUGGUAGUGCAGUUGGCUAGUACGCUGGGCUCAUGGUGUUAAUGAAUUGUUAAAGAAAAAUUCACUCGGUGAGAGUUCCAGAGGUCGGGAGUUCAAUUCUCUCCCACCCCA
rnacentral:tRNA from 1 species